GACGAACGCUGGCGGCGUGCCUAAUACAUGCAAGUAGAACGCUGAAGGAGGAGCUUGCUUCUCUGGAUGAGUUGCGAACGGGUGAGUAACGCGUAGGUAACCUGCCUGGUAGCGGGGGAUAACUAUUGGAAACGAUAGCUAAUACCGCAUAAUAGUAGAUGUUGCAUGACAUUUGCUUAAAAGGUGCAAUUGCAUCACUACCAGAUGGACCUGCGUUGUAUUAGCUAGUUGGUGGGGUAACGGCUCACCAAGGCGACGAUACAUAGCCGACCUGAGAGGGUGAUCGGCCACACUGGGACUGAGACACGGCCCAGACUCCUACGGGAGGCAGCAGUAGGGAAUCUUCGGCAAUGGACGGAAGUCUGACCGAGCAACGCCGCGGGAGUGAAGAAGGGUUUCGGAUCGUAAAGCUCUGUUGUAAGAGAAGAACGAGUGUGAGAGUGGAAAGUUCACACUGUGACGGUAGCUUACCAGAAAGGGACGGCUAACUACGUG
rnacentral:rRNA from 1 species